rnacentral:rRNA from 1 species
AGAGUUUGAUCCUGGCUCAGGACGAACGCUGGCGGCGUGCCUAACACAUGCAAGUCGAACGGAGUUGAAAGGAGCUUGCUUUUUUCAACUUAGUGGCGGACGGGUGAGUAACGCGUGAGUAACCUGCCUUUCAGAGGGGGAUAACGUUCUGAAAAGAACGCUAAUACCGCAUAAGAUUGUAGCUUCGCAUGGAGCAGCAAUCAAAGGAGCAAUCCGCUGAAAGAUGGACUCGCGUCCGAUUAGAUAGUUGGCGGGGUAACGGCCCACCAAGUCGACGAUCGGUAGCCGGACUGAGAGGUUGAUCGGCCACAUUGGGACUGAGACACGGCCCAGACUCCUACGGGAGGCAGCAGUGAGGGAUAUUGGGCAAUGGGGGAAACCCUGACCCAGCAACGCCGCGUGAGGGAUGACGGUUUUCGGAUUGUAAACCUCUGUCCUCUGUGAAGAUAGUGACGGUAGCAGAGGAGGAAGCUCCGGCUAACUACGUGCCAGCAGCCGCGGUAAUACGUAGGGAGCAAGCGUUGUCCGGAUUUACUGGGUGUAAAGGGUGCGUAGGCGGAUUGGCAAGUCAGAAGUGAAAUCCAUGGGCUUAACCCAUGAACUGCUUUUGAAACUGUUAGUCUUGAGUGAAGUAGAGGUAGGCGGAAUUCCCGGUGUAGCGGUGAAAUGCGUAGAGAUCGGGAGGAACACCAGUGGCGAAGGCGGCCUACUGGGCUUUAACUGACGCUGAGGCACGAAAGUGUGGGUAGCAAACAGGAUUAGAUACCCUGGUAGUCCACACUGUAAACGAUGAUUACUAGGUGUGGGGGGUCUAACCCCCUCCGUGCCGGAGUUAACACAAUAAGUAAUCCACCUGGGGAGUACGACCGCAAGGUUGAAACUCAA